rnacentral:rRNA from 1 species
CCUACGGGUGGCAGCAGUGAGGGAUAUUGGUCAAUGGGGGAAACCCUGAACCAGCAACGCCGCGUGAGGGAAGACGGCUUUCGGAUUGUAAACCUCUGUUCUCUGUGAAGAUAAUGACGGUAGCAGAGGAGGAAGCUCCGGCUAACUACGUGCCAGCAGCCGCGGUAACACGUAGGGAGCAAGCGUUGUCCGGAUUUACUGGGUGUAAAGGGUGCGUAGGCGGCCCUGCAAGUCAGAAGUGAAAUCCAUGGGCUUAACCCGUGAACUGCUUUUGAAACUGUAGGGCUUGAGUAAAGUAGAGGCAGGCGGAAUGCCCGGUGUAGCGGUGAAAUGCGUAGAGAUCAGGAGGAACACCAGUGGCGAAGGCAGCCUACUGGGCUUUAACUGACGCCGAGGCACGAAAGCGUGGGUAGCAAACAGGAUUAGAUACCCGAGUAGUC